AGGUAAAGAGCAUCCUUGACACCCUACACCAGAGGUGUCAAACUCCAGUCCUGGGGGGCAGGAGCCCUGCACAUUUUUGGGUUCCCCCUCAUUUAACACACCUGAUUUAACUCCUUGUGCUAAUUACCACGUGACUCUUGAGCUGAAUCAUUUGUGGUGGAACAGGGAACGAACUAAGCUACACAGGGCUCUAGCCCCCCAGGACUGGAUUUUGACACCCCUGCCCUACACCAUAAAGCCAGCAACACUCAGGCAGAAGCAUAAGACGGGGGAAGGGUUCGAAUCCCAGGGCCAGCAGGGUGAUUUCACCAGUGACCGAGGCCAUUAAGUGCGAGUCUAUUUAUGCAACAGAUGACUCAUAUAAAGCCACCUGCAUCCUCUGUAACGUUUCCCUAAUCACACAAAGGGACGUUUAUAGAACUCAGUCAGGAUCAGAAGGCACUGAGGUUAAGGGGGCAGACUGGAGUGACCUCAAGGCAGAAUGCCAGUGGAGAUGGGUCUAUUAGAGCUGUACAGCCACAUUAGGUACUCAAAUAGAACGGUUCCAGGCUGCUACGUCAGGUAAAUCCCAGCCACUUGCACUGCCUACAGUGGGCCGGAUCUUCACAGUGUAACACCUAUAAUCGAAUAGAGAGAUAGAUUAAUAAGCGGAUGAGUGUCGUGACAAUCUGGCAGCCUUGUCCAAAGACAUAAUAGCCCUCCAAGUGUUCCAGCAGCCACUCGGGGUCAGAUAACGAUGAUCACCACAGGGGCAUAAUUACCCCCUGGGGUGUUCCUGUGAGAUGCAGCAUAAGCCCCAUGGCAAGCGCCUGAUGGGACAGAUGGAGACCCCUUUCUGCUUCCAGCAGCUAAAUGCCCUUCUGUCACGGUACUGGGGGGGGACGGCGAUUGUCAGACUUCUUGUUGACAGUCACUAGGCAACAAACUGGCACUCCUGACUGACAGGGGACAGACGGGGAAAACUCAUUAGCAUCGGUCAGAUACCGGCAAUGCACAUCCACUGCCGGCACCAACUCCCACAGCCCAGCAGGCGGAAAGAGGCAAAACAAAAGCACAUCUGCAUGCGGGCCACCGACUGGCCAUGUGGCGGCGGGACCUGAAUUCUGGAAAGUCAGCGAUGUGUUGUUGGAUUGCUGGAAGAACAGAGCUUCAGUUCCGGCUCUCGCCUUCGGGGCACCGCAGGCAUUCCCUGUAUUUGCUGAAUUUCACCACCAGUUUUCUUAUUCAAUCAGUUAGUUAAAGGACUCAAUGAGAACUGCAGUUCCACCUGACGCUAGCCCUUUCCACAGAGGAUGGACAUUAUAACCGGGCUGCCAUUACCACGAGCGAUGGGGAAACGGACCAUUUGGCCUCCAGCACACAGAGGAUGCAAACGUCACGGGGAGAUUCCAGAGAACAUCCAGCUCUCUAUUCUGCUUAUUACAGAAAUCCCUGUGCUGGUUACACCGGUAUUUUAGAUUCACUUUAUUUAGUAGCUUUUGUUCAAAGUGAACUAUUUGCCUCACUAGUACAUCACAAACAUAAAGCUCUCAAGAGGUCGACUAGGCAUAAGUGCGGCUAGGCUGAGCUUCCAGGAAUGGCCAGGAACAAGAGUAAGAAGUAGUGGGGCUACGGUGUGAGGUAGUAUUAGUGAACAUUUAAUAAAAAAAAAACUAUAGCUGGAAAAAAAAACUGUUUGAGGAUUAUCAAGUGAUUCCUCGUGAUCCUCUCAUGUGAAUUCCAAUAGGACCGAAGUUCGUUUGAGGUAGCCGAGGUCACAAAUAGGAGUAUCCAGGGGCCGUUACCAUGAAGCACGAUUAAAAGGACAGACUCUCUUUAUAUUGAGGUUAUUGGUACUACUAAAGCAGUGAAUUGUUAACUGGGUAUUUUAUUAUGGCAACAGACUCUACAAAAGGUAACUUGCUCCCAAGCAGGUUUUGUUGGCCGUCAAUGAGACACCUCCCGGCCAAUCAAAUCAAAAGGAAAACACGACGACAUCACCUUUCACCAAGACUACAUUGUAAGAAGAUCCCUUGGGGCGGACUUGAAUCUUUACAGUCAGAUAAAAUCCUUCAGCCUUUUGUAUUUCUGUAUGAGGGGUAUACAUUUCCUCUGAAGUCUAAAAUAUUUGUGCCUACCACACCCGUACGCUAACCUGCCGGAACGGCAUGCUGCAACAAAAUGUGAAUCUUCAAGCACACAAGGUGUGGCUUCUCAGAAGUCUCCUAAGCAACUUUCCUGUUUUUAUCCGCACAUUUAGCCCAACACAGCCUUUUCUGGAAUAAACGUGAGCCUUUCAUAGCACCUCUCGAUUCCAAUUCUACAUUCCUACUGCUUCUUCAUUUACAUGAUUUCCAGUCCGGUCCACGUUUGACGUCCCCCAGAGUAACUGGGGCAACUUGUCGCACACAUAUAGUAAUUAGGGCAGCCUCGGGGGAUCACAAGGCUGACUACGUGAGCAGGAAUCCUUUCCACAACACUGGUGUGCAGGUACCGAAACAAGCACUGCAUUUCUGAACAGGAUACAGGAGUGUGGAACAGGGGGUUGGCCCUACCUCAACUUAUACACAGUGUUGUAUUUGAAGUGAUUCGCUAGCUGACUAUUAAUACACCUCUUACACAGAUGACAUGUGACCAUUAGUGCCUAAUGUCUCUCAGAUCUCCUAAGAGUCUGCUUUAUGUAAUGCCUUAGAUCUGGGUAACUAUCAAAUGCAUGUCAGUAUCUUCUUUACAACUGUUCUCUAAAACGUUUUUGGUUUAUGCCUGUCCUGCAGAACCCAGCAGUGGGCUACUUGUCGGAGAUGGAGGGUGCGCCUACCAGUCAUACCCAAUAACCCCCCGAUCCAACCCCCCCAGCCUGGGACUCAGAAUAGAGCUGACCUUUGCUAUUCUGAUGCCAAGAUUCAACUGCCCUCAAUUUGCUCAGGAUUGGAGGAGCCUGAGGUGGAGCCCAAAGCCGAUAGACCACAGACCACCAACGGCAGCGUUGUCAUAGUAACUACUUUGGAGGGCACUUUACCCAGUCACAUAUGACCCUUCCCCAAACUGAGAAGGGGAAAAACAUAUAUACAUUUCAUGAACUUCCUCCCUCUUUUCUGGAGCUCUAUAUUUUUCCAUAAUAAAGAAAUACCAUUAAUCUAUUUUGGUAUGCAAUUUCUAGCCACAUACAGUAUGUGUAGUAAAGUUGAA